UCAUUAGCCUAUAGAAAUUUUAGGCACAUUUUAGCCAUGUAUAUGUAACAAAAAAGGGGGAACAAGAAAGAUAUUUAAUAAGUGCUCUAGUCUAGCCCCCCCCGUGCCGGAUGGUCCGUUCCGGUUGUUCGCGCGGGCGCCUGCCUGACGCAGUUUGACAGAUUUGAGCAUGGCUCCCGCCCGUGCCCGUGCAUCACUUUCAGGUAAGUCCAUGUUUAAUCAUUCAUAAAUACGGGAAAUGUGCUGCAUGUGCGUGCUGCUGCUAAUCGUAAUGCGCCUCGAACUUGCUGACGUUAAUGUUAGCAUUAGCAAACUAUGUUAUUAUAACUUACAACUUCGGUGCAAGCUAAAUUGAGAUUUUACUGUUGAACAUUACAUAUUUUAAAAAUAACUGACCUGACGCCAGCUAGCUGUUACUCUUUUUUUUUUACUAUCUUUCUUUAGAUAUUGAGCAGUAGUUUAUGGUUUAUUUUGACGUGACGGUGGUUAAUACUUUCUCAGUAACGUUAACAGUUAGCGGUCAGUGCAGUGCACAUGGGGCAAUGCUAAGAUACAUAUGAGGAGGAGCACAAGGCUAAGAGGAAGAUACAGAUGACGAGCAGGAGGAGCAGCCAUGUACAAGCAGUUCAGGCACACAUCAACCCCAGCCGGACAGCAGGUCUGUAGACUCCACAAUAGGACCAAGCCCUGAUCAACCACCCUCAUCCAGCAGUUUAGGGACAGAUACACAACAGAUAACCACCACCUCUGAAAGCACAAGUCCUGUCAUUGAGAGUCCAUCAGCAGGUGACAAUGUAGAGACCUGUGUGCCCCUUCCAACUGAUCCUGCUUUUUGGCCAAAGCGACAAAGUGACAUUGAAUUUGCAAAAAAAAAAAAGUCUGGAUUAUUUUGAUAAUUUUUUUAUUUUGCUAUUCUGUUUACUGUUUACAAAGUCAGCAAAGCUGUGAAGAUUUUACUUUCUCUUUUUAGUGUUCUUAAGUUUUAUACUGUGAUGCUGCUAUUGUGUGUUAUUGGUAUUGAGUUAUGUUUGGUAAUAAAAAGUUAAACUGGCAAAAA